CGUUUGACAAGAAUUGAGGAGCGUGUGUUCCUGGUUGGACUCCCUUUACCAGGAGCUCCUGGAUUUCAGGGUGGCAUUCCCUCUUUAGUGUCAUCACAAUCACCCUGGAUGGUAGGCUGAAAUAUGGUGAUAAAGUGAAAGCUCUUAAUCACUAGGACGGCAUAGCAUUUCAUCCAGGUCAUCUUCAUCGACUGCUUGUACUACAGCACACUGGCAGGAUGUCUUUUAAAGAGUUGUGGUUGCUAUGUGCUGUCACAUCACUUCCUACUUGUGAUGACUGUCAUGUGCUUUUCAGGGUGUUGCAACACUGAACAGCCAUAAAUGCUCAUGACUGCAUCAAAAGAAAGUUACAAGGAGAAACCACCAAUUAUUGUCGGGGGGAAAACAACUCAAUCAGAGGAUGCAGAAAGACAGCAAAUUCACUUUUCCUCUUGCGUUUGCUCUCUGGUAUGUUCUUUUCUCUGCACCAUAAGCAACCCUUCCCAACUUUCUUUCCAAUAAAUUACCA